CUCAGAGAGCCCUCUACAGGGACGUCAUGCAGGAGAAUUACGAGAUGGUGACCUCGCUGGGAUUCCUCAUUCCCAAACCUGACCUGAUCGCCCGGCUGGAACGAGGGGAAGAGCCGUGGUUCCCGGAUCUCCAGGCCGAUGAAGAAAGGGAGAGCCCAAAAGGCUCCUGCACAGGCAGUGACUCCUGUCUGGAUUCUCUCUCUCCCAGCAGGUGAUAGGACAGUGAAUGAGAACAAGGAGGAGAAUCAGCAGGAGGAAGGUCCUGGGAAAGCGGAAUCGCAGGAGUUGGUUUUGAAAAGAGCUGAAGGGAAUUUUUCCCAGUGCUUGGAACAGGGAAAUGCCUGGGGAGAUCAACACAGAUCAGAGAUGCAGCUGGGAAACUAUCCUGGGAAGAAACUGGAUGAAUCUAUUGAACGUGGCAGAGGAUGCAAGGAUCCCAAGGAAACUACAGUACAGCAGAUAAGUCACAAUGAAGAGAAACCUUACAAAUGUCUUGACUGUGGGAAAAGUUUCCGUUUCAGUGCCAGCCUUAUCAAACAUUGGAGAACCCACACAGGAGAGAAGUCCUAUAAAUGCUUAGAGUGUGGGAAAAGUUUCAGUGAGAAGUCAAACUUUAUUACACACCAGAAACUGCACAUAGGAGAGAAACCCUAUAAAUGCCUGGAGUGUGGAAAAAGAUUUAGUCAGAGGUCAUCGCUUAUGGCACAUUACAGAUCCCACACAGGAGAGAA